UGAUUAUCGUCUAUAAUUCAAAUUCAGAUUGCGUAUGUUCCCACCGGGUGAGAUUUCUCCCCUAAGUACAGGUAAGCGUAGAUAGAAUGCAAGACGUUUGAGGGGUCGAAAUCAAUGCGCACAAAGAACAGGGAGCUAUUGUAUGCGCUGACGCAAGGAGUCCACGUGCGCAUGCGCUCCCACGGUCAACCGGGAAGGGAUUUGGGGACCCAUAUAUAAGGGUGUAGCCGCGGCUAACGGACCACUUCCGAAAUCACAGAGCUGCAGUGAACAUCCCCGGGGGACCGAGCACUCGGACCCCCGGUGGUUGAUAUCGGAAAAUCAAAAAGUUUAUUCAAAGUACAAACAAGUUCGGCUUAGUUUGGAACAAGUGACGUCAUUGUACAGUUUUAUUAAGAAAAUUGUCACAGUUGAAUUGUUCAUCAGAGUGCUGUUAUCAUUUCGAUAAUAAAUUAACAAGGAAUAUGGAAGUACAAAAAUAUACUUACCAACUUUGUAAAUAAUCAGACUCUUCAAUAAUUUGAACAUUAACCACUCAAGAUUAAAAUACACCACAAUGGUACCUCCUGGUGGUGUAUUUCAACAAGAAC